UACGGGGGGGGCAAGCGUUGUUCGGAAUUAUUGGGCGUAAAGAGCUCGUAGGCGGUUUGUCGCGUCUGCUGUGAAAACCCGAGGCUCAACCUCGGGCCUGCAGUGGGUACGGGCAGACUAGAGUGCGGUAGGGGAGAUUGGAAUUCCUGGUGUAGCGGUGGAAUGCGCAGAUAUCAGGAGGAACACCAAUGGCGAAGGCAGAUCUCUGGGCCGUAACUGACGCUGAGGAGCGAAAGCAUGGGGAGCGAACAGG
rnacentral:rRNA from 1 species